rnacentral:rRNA from 1 species
AAAGGAAUAGACGGGGACCCGCACAAGCGGUGGAUGAUGUGGUUUAAUUCGAUGCAACGCGAAAAACCUUACCUACCCUUGACAUGUCAGGAAUCCCGUAGAGAUAUGGGAGUGCUCGAAAGAGAAUCUGAACACAGGUGCUGCAUGGCCGUCGUCAGCUCGUGUCGUGAGAUGUUGGGUUAAGUCCCGCAACGAGCGCAACCCUUAUCAUUAGUUGCUACGCAAGGGCACUCUAAUGAGACUGCCGGUGACAAACCGGAGGAAGGUGGGGAUGACGUCAGGUCAUCAUGGCCCUUAUGGGUAGGGCUACACACGUCAUACAAUGGCCGGUACAGAGGGCUGCCAACCCGCGAGGGGGAGCUAAUCUCAGAAAACCGGUCGUAGUCCGGAUCGCAGUCUGCAACUCGACUGCGUGAAGUCGGAAUCGCUAGUAAUCGCGGAUCAGCUUGCCGCGGUGAAUACGUUCCCGGGUCUUGUACACACCGCCCGU